AAUACUGAAUUACCAGGCCUGAAAAAGCAGCCCCGCAGCAAAGUAGACCAGCUCACCGUAAUUAGGACAUUCUGCGGCCAUGAAAUCAUUCUGAAAAUUAGCUCCAGGAAGCAAGAGAAGGGAGACAGAGUACUAAAGAAAGAAAAGGGUGAAGUUUGGAGAGGGGGAAAAAAAAGUGUUCUGGAUGUCUUCAGGAGGCGAGCUGACAGGCCACAUGUGCUGGCAAGGUUUUGGCCACAGCAACGCCUGCUCUACGUUCUGCAGAUCAGCAAAGCUCCUGUCGCCACCGGUUUACCCUACCCUGACCUCCUGCCAUUGCACAAACAGCAUCUGCCAACGAUCAACCCUCAAGCAAGCACUAAGCACCGUAGGACAACAUAAACCAGUGUCACCACGACCCGCGGGCCAUCCUGUCUUUCUCGGCUAAAACACUCGAGAGAUAAAAAUUGGGGAUCGCUUGCUUCUAGCUAUUUUCUUCAAACCCUAGAAUAAAUGAACGUGUGGGUAAAAGUGGUGUUGGCCCAGCUGUGGGUUGUUAACACUGAACCGAGCUCUACGGGGAAAGGGCACCAGAUGGCUGGCAAAUGGCACGAUUGAGAGUUGAAAGGGGAUUGCGUAAAAAAAAAAA